GUGGUUGAUAUUCUACUGUUUGAUAUGUGAGAUCAGCGUUCUUUUCAUAUCUGAUUUUUGCACUGUCGGUUCUGUAUUCGAGAAUCAUGUCCCCGCUAAAGGGCUUGAAGCUGAUAUGAUAUCUACUACUACUAUUGGUUAGUGUUGGACUUUCGGUUUGGGAGAGGUGCUUUGGUACUGUUGAACCUUCUAUUCUGCUAAUAUCUGAGGGAUGUAUCACUUGCUUGGUCUGGUCUAUGUUGAGGGUGGUAUCUUAUUAUGUCAACGGGGGUUCGACAGCCAUUAUUAUGUCAACUGGGCUUAGACAGCCAUUGGAAGUUCAUUCUGGUAUAUUAAGGUCACGCCCCUCUUAAUUUUUAAUAAAUGGAAAAACAAAUUUAUGUGGUCGAAGGGCAUAAAGACAUUCAUGAUUAAGUUGCACAAGAUUCCGUUCGAAAUUAUUCUCUUGUGCUUCUAUAAGACAAUUCAUGAUUAAGUUGGACAAGAAUCAAUUAGAAAUUAUUCUCUUAUCUUGUGCUUACAGAAGCAUAUGCCUUACUAAAGGGAGAAAUUUAGAAGGGUGAAGAGCAUGGAGACUGUCAUAGUUUAGCAGCAUGGGAAAUCCGUUCUGGUAGACAGCUACUAGGGUUAUAUCCUUGAGUUGUGGAAUUAGAAAUCAGAAGAAUUAAAAUCAUCAUGUACAGCAGUAGUCCAGGUGGACCAUUCAAUUGAGGGUGUCAAGUUUCUACAUGAAGAAUUAAAAUCAUCAUGUACAGCAGUAGUCCAGGUGGACCAUUCAAUUGAGGGUGUCAAGUUUCUACAUGAAGAAUUAAAAUCAUCAUGUACAGCAGUAGUCCAGGUGGACCAUUCAGUUGAGGGUGUCAAGAUUCUACAUGUUAAGUUUUCCCAUGUAGCGACAUUAUGUGGUGACUUCAGUGAGUUUUUUGUGAACUUUUAUGUAGACUUGGCAUCAGGUUGAUGUCCAUUUGUAAUGCAACAUUUAAACAUAUGAUUGUGAAAGUCUAUUUUUCAUUCAACAUUCAUGGGUUAUUUGGCAUUAUCUUUGUAUUUUCCCUUGUUUUCUGCAGAGUUCACUUUUUCUA